AACGAACGCUGGCGGCAGGCCUAACACAUGCAAGUCGAGCGGGGGAGCAAUCCCUAGCGGCGGACGGGUGAGUAACGCGUGGGAACGUACCCUUUGCUUCGGAAUAGCCCCGGGAAACUGGGAGUAAUACCGGAUGUGCCCUACGGGGGAAAGAAUCUCGGCAAAGGAUCGGCCCGCGUUGGAUUAGGUAGUUGGUGGGGUAAUGGCCUACCAAGCCGACGAUCCAUAGCUGGUUUGAGAGGAUGAUCAGCCACAUUGGGACUGAGACACGGCCCAGACUCCUACGGGAGGCAGCAGUGGGGAAUCUUAGACAAUGGGCGCAAGCCUGAUCUAGCCAUGCCGCGUGAGCGAUGAAGGCCUUAGGGUUGUAAAAGCUCUUUCGUGGGGGAAGAUAAUGACGGUACCCCAAGAAGAAGCCCCCGGCUAAACUCCGUGCCAGCAGCCGC
rnacentral:rRNA from 1 species